UAAUAAGUGUUUUAUGGCACUUUUUAAAUCCAUAUCCACCUUGUGUGCAAUGUCAGUCGAUCUUCUUCAUGGAGAUCGACCAAACAUCAACCUUUAUCUUUUAACUCUUUGUCUGAAAAACAUCUAUGAAUAAACAAUUCAAAAUA
rnacentral:misc_RNA from 1 species